rfam:Proteiniborus sp. DW1 genome assembly, contig: DW1_contig55
UAGCCAAUAUCCAAUGGAAUUGGACUAUAUUACUGUAAAUAAAAAUAUAUUAAUUCGACUGGUAUCCUUUAAGGAACUAGAGCGGGAG